rnacentral:rRNA from 1 species
GAUGAACGCUGGCGGCGUGCCUAAUACAUGCCAGUCGAGCGAACAGACGAGGAGCUUGCUCCUUUGACGUUAGCGGCGGACGGGUGAGUAACACGUGGAUAACCUACCUAUAAGACUGGGAUAACUUCGGGAAACCGGAGCUAAUACCGGAUAACAUGUUGAACCGCAUGGUUCAACAGUGAAAGACGGUUUUGCUGUCACUUAUAGAUGGAUCCGCGCCGCAUUAGCUAGUUGGUAAGGUAACGGCUUACCAAGGCAACGAUGCGUAGCCGACCUGAGAGGGUGAUCGGCCACACUGGAACUGAGACACGGUCCAGACUCCUACGGGAGGCAGCAGUAGGGAAUCUUCCGCAAUGGGCGAAAGCCUGACGGAGCAACGCCGCGUGAGUGAAGAAGGUCUUCGGAUCGUAAAACUCUGUUAUUAGGGAAGAACAAAUGUGUAAGUAACUAUGCACGUCUUGACGGUACCUAAUCAGAAAGCCACGGCUAACUACGUG